UACGUAGGGUGCAAGCGUUAAUCGGAAUUACUGGGCGUAAAGCGUGCGCAGGCGGUUUUGUAAGUCAGAUGUGAAAUCCCCGGGCUUAACCUGGGAACUGCGUUUGAAACUACAAGGCUAGAGUGUGGCAGAGGGGGGGUGGAAUUCCACGUGUAGCAGUGAAAUGCGUAGAGAUGUGGAGGAACACCGAUGGCGAAGGCAGCCCCCUGGGUUAACACUGACGCUCAGGCACGGAAGCGUGGGGAGCAAACAGG
rnacentral:rRNA from 1 species